rnacentral:lncRNA from 1 species
AACAAUAGCAGCAUUAACAGUCAUUGGACUCCCACCGAGUGUGUUAUUCUUUAAAUUAGAACCCAUGAAUAUAAUGAGAUGGAUUUUCACAGGAACAAGGGCAGGCUGAAACAAAGAGGUAUUGCUUUUUAUUCUUAUUUCCCUUGAUUUUUGCAUGAUUUAAACAUUUUGAACCUUAACUGUUCUUUUCAUUUUACUUUUGAGUUGGGGAGGGUGAUAUCAUGUUAAUGUUAGAAAGAAAAAGGACCAUCUUUUUAGAAUGCAAAUAGAGGCAGAAACUCUAUUUAUGAAAAUUUAAAGAACUGUAUGAAACAACUCCAAAACAUAGCAUCCUCAAUCAGCAUCAGAAUGACGCUUUUCUUUCUUGUGUGCUUGAUUUUUAAAAUUAUCUUAAUAGACACUGUGAAGGUCCCUUGUGUUACUCAGGGGCAGGCUUGACUCAUGGAUAGAAGCACUGAAGUUGUGUUUGUGACUUGUGGCUCUGCCUUAGGCUGAUCAUAAAGUAGAAGUUGCGUCCAUAGGAGGCUUCUUACCCACCCAGUGAAAAUUUAGUCCAUUUCUCUUUAGGAGAGAGCCUGUUCUGGUCUUCUUUUCCUGGACGGUGGAUACAUUUUUCACACUUUAUGAGUUUGCCUUUCCAGAGCCUUAUAGGGGAUCAGGUUGUUGCACCGCUCUGAUAUUCAUGCCACUGAAAACUUAAAUCAAGCUUUAUUUACUGUUCUAAUUGAAUAGCCCCC